UGUAUGUAUAUAUAAUACAUAUGUAUAUCGCGAUAUAUAUGCGCGCUGCACUGAAUCACGUGGGAGAAUGUACUUAUUUGACGCAGAGUAGGUGUUUUUAUCGAUCUUUGAAACAUCCGCGUGGUGACUGUUUCGGAUCGAGCGAUCAGAUGGUCAAUUGAAUUUUGGUAUCAGUUUUCCAAUACAUCCUCUACCUUUGUCGCCUUAAUAAGUACAACUACCAUACCCAAUAGUCAAAAUGACGAACUAUGAAUUUAUUUUUACAAUUAUCAAAAACAUGUUUAUGACGUUUACUACUUGCAAUGAAAAUUGUACAAUUUUAAAAUGCACUAUCGAAGUUUAUCGAAGAUAAGUUAUUGAAAAAAGUGUUAAAUCCUGUAUCUCCUCGAUAAAAUAUAAUAACAUCGAUAGAUUAUACAUCAUAAAUAGCAAAUAUAUAAAUCAAACUAUAGAUUAGAUUGAAUAUAAAUCUCUAUCUGUAAGUAAUCAUCAUACAUGAUAAGUACAUUAUUUACAAUGUAAAAUAGCUUUUUUUUCUUAAAUCCUUAUGGCAAGUUCUAAUUUCUUUGACUUUAUUUCUCUUGAUUACAAAUUCUCGUGAAUCCUUACCAACUACGAUGGAAAGUUAAUUUAGAAAUGUAAUCUCCGUCAAAUGAAAAACAUUGUGAUGCAACUAUCUGGAUUAAACGUGGAGUUACAUUACAAGCUAUUGUUUAAGUGGGGAAAUAUGUUUUGUUGGGUACGAUACAACGUGACUCAACUAAACAUUCGCCGGUUGGCUACGAUAGCGACUGGUAUUCGAGGGUUAAGUUCAUAUAUCGAUUAAGCAAAAAUAUAGAUCGAUCAUCGAACGGAUAAAUCUUUCAAGAUAUACCGAUUCCAAUUCUUAAGUUUAAUCUAUAACGUAUUUAAUGAAGCAAAUAGAUCGACCGGUUUUGUUACCAUCACAGAAAUGUAAUGAAAGAGUGAGAGAAAAUUUAUUUGGCGGAUUAAUGAAUCGGUUUUUAAAGCACUUUUUCGAUCAAGUUGUUUAAACAAAUUAGUUGCUCAUUAUUGUUUGUAUACAGUGACAAAGUAAACUCAAUACGAAUUUUCCCCAAUGUUUUUAACUCAACGGCCCCAUAACAAGUGGAAUCGCUCGAUAACCAUGCUCAACAGACACCAUGCGGUAGUCUCUCUCUCUCCGAGUAUCGUCGUUUCCACUACCUCUCACCUCGUCUUUCAGCGACCGGAGUAUUGAUCCAACCUGGCAAUACUUAUACACUAUACACACGGUAGUGUGUAGUAUUGUAAAUGGCCACGGUUGCCUACGAAUCUCGAGAGGGACUUGUAAACGAUGUUGUCCGAACUUCCUUGUGUUUUUGGUCGUAUCCUGCACUCGUUGCGGUUAAAAUGCAUAAUGCAGGAAUUACGUGUUCAAUUGUCAAGCGUUGUUGCGUGAAAUACGUAUGAAGAGAGGAAUGAAGGAAAAGAGGAAAAGAGAAGCAUACAGUAAAGUCGAGCCAUGACCUACACAGAAACGAACCAUUUUAUAAAUUUAGAAA